AUACUGUUGUAUGUAUAAUUUCAGCCUUUUAAAUUUAUUGAGACUGAUAUUAUGACACAGAAAAAUGUCCAUCUUGCUGAGGGUUCCAUGAACACUGAUGAAUCUAGUGGCUAACAGUGGCUCAAUGCCAAGAUGCAAAGCUUCUGACUUGACAUCCCGUGUUUCUCAGAUGAUUUCCUUACCUUGGCAAGAUACUUCUGGAGCCCCAAACGUGGCAACCUUGGUUAAGAAGAUCCCAGCAGGGAGGAAGGGGGAUGUGGCAAAAUACUUCAACCGUGUAAGAGGGACUAUGACUAAAAAGCAAGAAGUGGUAGUGGCUGUUGGAUAGGCAGUAAUUGUGUUCACUGUUCUGCCAUUAUUCAAUGUUCUCUCCUUCUAAUAGGUAUCCAAUUUACAAUUAUAAAUAUAUUUCUGUGAUUAUUCAAUUAAUUUGUGUUUCAUCCACUAGAUUCUUAGUGUACAGAAGAAACCGUUUCUGUAAUGAAGCCUCGUUGCCUAAGUAUCUGCCGUCAUUCAGCCACUAUUGGCUGAGUGAAUGGGUGCUGAAUAAAGCCUUUUCCAAAAUGCUGAAACUGACAAUUUAUUGGUUUAUUUCAGCUGAAGUGGUGCCAAUUCAUGACAGAUUACUACUUAUGCAUGUGUGUAAAUUAGAGAAUAUUUGAGUUAUCUUGCCAUUUUUGCAGUCUACUUCUUUUGUCAUAUUGCAUAUUCAUUUUUUGUCUAAGGUCAACUGAAAUGUUUUGCAGUUUCUAACCAGAAUAGUUAUAUCAAUCAUUUCCAUUACAUUAUUCUCU
rnacentral:lncRNA from 1 species